UAGCUAGUCCAACUCCAUUGCAGCACAUUUGUUUAUUUUAACACUUUUUUUAUCUAAAUAUGAAGCUAGCUGUGAAUGCAAUUAACAUUGUGAAGCUUUAGAACUGCACUUUAAUUGGAAAAAUCUAAACAUGCAGCUCUAUAAAAAAUUUGUAUGCUAAUGUAUUUAUGAUGGAUAGACCCAUUCUUUCUUGUUUUUUAAGUUAAUGAUUUAAAUGGAACAAUGUGCUUAUGCUUUUGUUUCUUUCUACCUUAUUUCUUCCACAGCUCUUCCAAAGUUGGUGUGUAGCAGUGUACCAUGAUAUUAUACAGAGGAAAUAAGUACAAGAGCUUGAAAUUGGGUUCUGAUGAGGAGUUCCUGUACAGUUCCCGAGCAAACUCCAACAUCUGAGAGACAAAUUGAAAGAAUGGAGUUUUGAAAUGCAAAUACUUUAAACAUUAAUUCUUAGAACAUUGUAGAUUGGAAAGUGAAUUUCUGAACCAAACUGUUUUGUUGAACCUCUUAGUGGGUCUAUUUGAUUCUAAACUUGUCUUUGAAGAAAUAAAAUAGAACCCAUUUCUUAUUUGUAUGCUACUGUUUCAGUUAUAUUUUACUACUUUAUUACCUCUCCUCUACUAUCUGGAGAACCUCCUGCAACUGAAAAACUCUUGUUGUGCACUAAUUAAAAGUUUAAAGUAUGGAAUUAUUCAGUCCUCCAACUCAUCAAAACCGUUGAAUAAAAAUCAAUCUGCUAAUGUUUUC
rnacentral:lncRNA from 1 species